AAAACGUUUUGAAAAUGAGAAUUUAACUUUGUAAUGAUUCUUGCAUGAAUAUAUACAAAGUGGUUAUCCCGUUUGGUUUUUUGAAAGUAGUUUAGAAAAAUAGUUUUCUUUGGAAGUAGUUUGAAAGUGGUGAUUUUCCAAAAGAUGUUUGAAAGGUGUGGGGUGUGAAAAAUAUUUUUUAGGUUAUGAAUGAGCAAUUAAGGUUAUACCUGUCCGA
rnacentral:lncRNA from 1 species